AGCUUGCUACUUUGCUGACGAGCGGCGGACGGGUGAGUAAUGCUUGGGAACAUGCCUUGAGGUGGGGGACAACAGUUGGAAACGACUGCUAAUACCGCAUAAUGUCUACGGACCAAAGGGGGCUUCGGCUCUCGCCUUUAGAUUGGCCCAAGUGGGAUUAGCUAGUUGGUGAGGUAAUGGCUCACCAAGGCGACGAUCCCUAGCUGGUUUGAGAGGAUGAUCAGCCACACUGGGACUGAGACACGGCCCAGACUCCUACGGGAGGCAGCAGUGGGGAAUAUUGCACAAUGGGCGCAAGCCUGAUGCAGCCAUGCCGCGUGUGUGAAGAAGGCCUUCGGGUUGUAAAGCACUUUCAGUCAGGAGGAAAGGUUAGUAGUUAAUACCUGCUAGCUGUGACGUUACUGACAGAAGAAGCACCGGCUAACUCCGUGCCAGCAGCCGCGGUAAUACGGAGGGUGCGAGCGUUAAUCGGAAUUACUGGGCGUAAAGCGUACGCAGGCGGUUUGUUAAGCGAGAUGUGAAAGCCCCGGGCUCAACCUGGGAACUGCAUUUCGAACUGGCAAACUAGAGUGUGAUAGAGGGUGGUAGAAUUUCAGGUGUAGCGGUGAAAUGCGUAGAGAUCUGAAGGAAUACCGAUGGCGAAGGCAGCCACCUGGGUCAACACUGACGCUCAUGUACGAAAGCGUGGGGAGCAAACGGGAUUAGAUACCCCGGUAGUCCACGCCGUAAACGAUGUCUACUAGAAGCUCGGAGCCUCGGUUCUGUUUUUCAAAGCUAACGCAUUAAGUAGACCGCCUGGGGAGUACGGCCGCAAGGUUAAAACUCAAAUGAAUUGACGGGGGCCCGCACAAGCGGUGGAGCAUGUGGUUUAAUUCGAUGCAACGCGAAGAACCUUACCUACACUUGACAUACAGAGAACUUACCAGAGAUGGUUUGGUGCCUUCGG
rnacentral:rRNA from 1 species